GAGAAGAUGGUGUUCUAGAAGGAAUCAGAGGAAGUGGAGUUAGAUGCUCUUUUGUUUUGUUUUUUUAACUUUUUUUUAACCCUCUUUAUUUCGUUUAUUGGGAUUUUGGGGAAUCUAUUGCGGAAAAUUUAGGAAUUUUAUUUGUUUUCUGUUUAUUUGAUACAUUAGUUAGGGCUGCAAUUAUGAGUCCAUUUAUAUGCACUGUUGGGUUAUAAAUUACUGACAUAUAUUUUAAGGAGAGAAUAUUCGUUCAUUUGCAUCGGUGCCUUUAUUAAGAUUCAUUUGGGGUCUAUUUAUGGAGCACCUAUGGUCAAGUUUUCAGAUCCGAUGAAAUAUGACGACUCUAAUGCAUUUAAAUGACAAAUUAGGCUUUUAUUUAAAUGAAUGGAUGAGUCAUCGUUCAUUGAUAUGCAUUUAGGCUAUAUUUGAAGAGCGUCUAGGUGGUCUCUUUAGAUACACUGGAGAUAAAACGAGCUGAAUUAGACAUACGGAAAAGGUCAAAAGGUCAGGGACAAGGUCAUGGCCCAACUUCAGACAAUGAGAAGUAAGUAAUUAUGAAAGAAGGGCGAGUAAACAGCAGGAAUUACCCAGCAAACACCAGCUCCUUAUGUCGUAGCUGUGUGUGAGCGAAAGCUUCUUUUUUUUUUGCAUAAACUUUUUUUUCUCUCUCGACCAUCGGCUGUCCUUCUACUUCCGAUCUCGCUCUGAACACUGAGGAAGUACCAGAUCUCUCCCGCCGAUUCAGAAAGUAUCGUUCAUCUCCCAACUUUCGCGCCGGCGGUAACCGUCGGACGGGCUAAGUCACUGUAAAUCUCAAGGAAAAGUUAUGUACGUAAGAGAGCGUUUAUUAAAUACCAAAGUGGCCUUAUUCACUUAACUUAAUUAAGUUGUCAGCCUCCACUAAUGGCUAUCGCGCUGAUAACAACGUCCCAGAGGAGAGGGCAUCGAGACGAAACAUUGAGCAACGCGAGGGAAAAGCGAGACGUUUGGGCUCGUGACGUCACAGGGUGUCGAUGACGUCACGAGGUGCACGAGAGGGCCAGGUCAGCCGUCAUUUGUGCAGCGAGCGUGGACGCGCGCACAUCGCCUGAUCCUGCCUAACUGCAGCUGUAAACAGAUGUGAAGGCAAACCCAGGCGGAUUGAAAACAAACAAACAAACAAAGGUGCUUGUUUUUAUUAGCAGCCGACGGAAAAGUGGCUGUUAUUGUUAACGAGUCCAAUUAGACAAUAAGAACUAGUAGUAAUUAAAAAAAAAGGGAGGAGGCUGAAAAUCAAAGAUAAAAAAUAAUCUUAAAGUGACAGAGGGAGGGAUGCGCUGCCUGGAAUAGUGCCCCGAGGCCUCAGUGCCAUUUCCAAGCGGAGUGCCAUGUCGUACCCACAUCCGCGUGCUCCGCCCAUUCCCUAAUUCGCGCCCAGUGAUUGGCUGAGAAAGAACACUUAGAGAAGAAAUAAGAAAGAAAAAAUAUAAAAAGGAUAUUUAAGAAAAGAAAUAAAAUAAAAUAAACCGAUCUUAAACACGCUCGUUGAUCUUUUGACUGUUUCCAACGCCCGGUUUAUCCCUCCCUCUCCCACCCCCCCAAAAAAAGAAAAGAAGAAAAAAAAAAAAGACUUAUCUACUGCGUCAUAUAACCCCCCACCCCCCCCAUCAGUCCUGGCACCCUGUGGGAUCCCCCUCCUCCCCCGGCAGAGUGCCAGCCAUGUCCCACCCCGGGGCACGAAACUGGCCCCACUUGGCACCAGCGCUCACGUACCGCGGAGACCCCAGCGUGAGCCAUCUCCGAUCUUCGCCUCUCAUGCAGGGUGAGUAGAUGGAAGGUAGAUGUAGGGAAAAGGUAGAUAUGUAGGGGAAAGGUAGAUUGAAGGUAAGGGAAAAGGUAGAUGUAAAGUAGGGAAGAGGUAGAUUGAAUGUAAGGGAAAGGUAGAUUGAAGGUAAGGGGAAAGGUAGAUAUGUAGGGUAAAGGUAGAUUGAAGGUAAGAGAAAGACAGAUGGAAGGUAGGGAAAAAGUAGAUGUAAAGUAGGGAAGAGGUAGAUAAGAGGUAGGGGAAAAGUAGAUGGAAGGUAAGGGAAAACGUAGAUGGAAGGUAGGAGGUGGAGGGAAGUCUCAAGGGUAGGUAUCUCAAUGCUCUUAUUUAUUUUAUGGGCCAUAUGAUGGAGGGACCGUUAUCUCGCUCUCUCUCUCUCUUUCCUUCUUUCUCUCUC